UGGGGAAUUUUGGACAAUGGGCGAAAGCCUGAUCCAGCCAUGCCGCGUGCAGGAUGAAGGCCUUCGGGUUGUAAACUGCUUUUGUACGGAACGAAAAGCCUCUUUCUAAUAAAGAGAGGUCAUGACGGUACCGUAAGAAUAAGCACCGGCUAACUACGUGCCAGCAGCCGCGGUAAUACGUAGGGUGCAAGCGUUAAUCGGAAUUACUGGGCGUAAAGCGUGCGCAGGCGGUUUUGUAAGACAGAGGUGAAAUCCCCGGGCUCAACCUGGGAACUGCCUUUGUGACUGCAAGGCUGGAGUGCGGCAGAGGGGGAUGGAAUUCCGCGUGUAGCAGUGAAAUGCGUAGAUAUGCGGAGGAACACC
rnacentral:rRNA from 1 species